rnacentral:tRNA from 1 species
GGUUCCGUAGUGUAGCGGUUAGCAUGUAUGCUUUGCACACAGAAGGUCCUGGGUUCACGCCCCAGUGGAGCCA